rnacentral:rRNA from 1 species
AGUGAACGCUGGCGGUAGGCCUAACACAUGCAAGUCGAACGGCAGCACAGUAAGAGCUUGCUCUUACGGGUGGCGAGUGGCGGACGGGUGAGGAAUACAUCGGAAUCUACUUUUUCGUGGGGGAUAACGUAGGGAAACUUACGCUAAUACCGCAUACGACCUACGGGUGAAAGCAGGGGAUCUUCGGACCUUGCGCGAUUGAAUGAGCCGAUGUCGGAUUAGCUAGUUGGCGGGGUAAAGGCCCACCAAGGCGGCGAUCCGUAGCUGGUCUGAGAGGAUGAUCAGCCACACUGGAAGUGAGACAGGGUCCAUACUCCUACGGGAGGCAGCAGUCGGGAAUAUUGGACAAUGGGCGCAAGCCUGAUCCAGCCAUACCGCGUGGGUGAAGAAGGCCUCCGGGUUGUAAAGCCCUUUUGUUGGGAAAGAAAAGCAGCAGGUUAAUACCCCGCUGUUCUGACGGUACCCAAAGAAUAAGCACCGGCUAACUUCGUG